UGAAGGUGGCAUAGACCUUGUCGUUGAUGGUGGCUUAGAUGGAUUGGGAGGACUCUGAUGGAAGUGAUGAUGAGGAAAGAGCAUCCGGAGGAUCUGAGGGGUGGUGGUGGAAAGGAACGAUGGGCAGGAAGUAAAGAAUAGGAGAUUCUAAGAAAAUAUACUAGAUGAAAAAAACUCAAUUGUUUAUAUACUGCUUAUUUUAGCAUUGUUCUUCCUAAGUCAAUAUAGUUCUUUGAUACAAAGUUUCCAACCCAGGGGGCUGUGUUCGAAGAGUUCAGGUGAAAAAAAUACUAUAUUCUAGUAUUUUAUCUUAAAAAUUCUGAAAACAAUGCAUUUUAAUGCCAUUGAAAGUUUAAUAUGACUAAUGCAUUUGUUACACUAUCACGGAUAAUAUUUCUUGAAGUUUACUUCUGUUCACUCAUUGUCUCUAAAAAUCAGAUAGUCAAUUCUUGAUCUUUUUCACUUAUUAUUCUUGUCUUUAUAUAUUCUUUUCUUAAAUUCAUGUGUAGUUCAAACUGUAUUUAUUUGCGGAGGCAAUCUUUUAUUCUUUCCAUCACUUGAAUCUGGUAAUAUUAUCUCUAUGAAAUCAAGGAAAAUUUGCUACGUUGAAUCAUUUUUAUUCAGUUUUCUUUUUUUAUCAAUCUUGAGUUUUAUUUAUUUUCUUCUCUUCUUAGGA
rnacentral:lncRNA from 1 species